UACGUACCGGACAAACGUUAUUCGGAAUUACUGGGCUUAAAGAGUGCGUAGGCGGCCUUGCAGGUGAGGUGUGAAAUCCCACGGCCCAACCGUGGAAUUGCGCUUCAAACCGUAAGGCUUGAGGGAGACAGGGGUGAGCGGAACUGAUGGUGGAGCGGUGAAAUGCGUUGAUAUCAUCAGGAACACCUGUGGCGAAGGCGGCUCACUGGGUCUUUUCUGACGCUGAGGCACGAAAGCUAGGGUAGCGAACGGG
rnacentral:rRNA from 1 species